UUUUAAACGAUUUUUUUUAAACCACUGGGUCGGUGCUUCUCAAACUUCCAGCGAGCGUCUGAAUCACCUGCAGGACCUGUUAAAACAGCUUUCUGGGCUCCACCUCCAGACUUUGGGAUUGAGAAGGUCUGGGGUGGGGCUCCAGAAUUUGCAUGUCAACGCGUUCCCAGGUGACGCUACAGCUACUGGUCUGGCCACACUCUGAGAAUUGCGGGCUUUCAAGGCUGCUGCUCAAUCUUGACCGGGUAUGGGACGCAGCUAGGGAUUGUUAAAAUGCAAAUUCUGAUUCAGCAGGUGUGGAAGGAGGCUUCGUUGAAGGUGAUGCAACCAAAAGUGGUUCCGCCGCCCACACUUUUUGAGAGGGUGGGGGCUUCCAGCCGAGGUUGUGUUCCUGUCCACGCGCUCCAGGAAGCCGAGCAUCUCUCCAUCAAUCCGUCAGCCUGCGGGUCCCCGCCACUUCCCGCCUGCGCUCCCAGAAAGCCCGCAGGCUGAGCCGGAGGUAGACUGCUCCAAAGGUGUUGGCACGUUACAUUUCAGGGAUGGAGAAGAGGCGUGGGAUUGGAAAGUCGCAUAUGGGAGCAUCGUUAUCAAGAUGUGGCUAUCACAAUGGAACCAACAUGCAGAAGAAUGAAACUAGACCAUUGUCUUACACCAUACACAAAGAUAAACUCAAAAUGGAUGAAAGAUCUAAAUGUGAGACAAGAAUCCAUCAAAAUCAGAGGAGAACCCAGGGAACACCCUUUUUGAACUUGACCACAGCAACUUCUUGCAAGAUACAUCUAUGAAGGCAAGGGAAACAAAAGCAAAGACGAACUAUUGGGACUUAAUCAAGAUAAAAAGCUUCUGCACAGCAAAAGAAAGAGUCAGCAAAACUAAAAGACAACCUACAGAAUGGGAGAAGAUAUUUGCAAAUGACUUAUCAGAUAAAGGGCUAGUAUCCAAGAUCUAUAAAGAACUUAUUAAACUCAACAGCAAAGAAACAAACAGUCCAAUCAUGAAAUGGGCAAAAGACAUGAACAGAAAUUUCACCAAAGAAGACAUAGUCUGAGCAAUUGCACUACUGGGGAUUUACCCCAAAGAUACAGAUGCAGUGAAAUGGCAGGGCACCUGCACUCCAAUGUUUAUAGCAGCAAUGUCCACAAUAGCAAAACUGUGGAGGGAUCCUUGGUGUCCAUCGAAAGAUGAAUGGAUAAAGAUGUGGAAAAUAUAUAUAAUGGAAUAUUAGCCAAUAGAAUGGCAAAUACCCACCAUUGCUUCAAUGUGGAUAGAAUUGGAGGGUAUUAUGCUGAGUCAAGUAAGUCAAUUGGAGAAGGACAAUCAUUGUAUGGUUUCACUCAUAUGGGGAAUAUAAAAAAUAGUGAAAGGGAUUAUAGUAGAAAGGAGAGAAAAUGAGUGGGAAAAAUUAGAGAGGGUGACAAACCAUGAGAGACUCCUAACUCUGGGAAAUAA